rnacentral:rRNA from 1 species
AUGGUGAGGAGGAGAGAGAGGAUUGGAGGAAAAGAAAGGAAAAUGGGAAGAAGGAGAACUCACAUAAGGGAAAAGGAGGAGAAUGAGAAAGAAGAGCAGGGGCAACAAGAAAUUGAUGAAGAGAAAGAGGAGGAACAAAAGGAGAUAAAUGAGCAGAAGGGAAGGAAGGAGAAUGGUAAAGAGGAAGAGGAUUCGAAGGAAAGGGAUGAGAAGGACCAGAAUGACCAAAAAAAUUGCCCUCACUUCUUUAGGGUGCCCAUAUCCUAUUCAUUUAUGGAACACAUGGUAGGUUUUCUUGAUUCAUAA